AACGCUAGCUACAGGCUUAACACAUGCAAGUCGAGGGGCAGCAUGGUCUUAGCUUGCUAAGGCCGAUGGCGACCGGCGCACGGGUGAGUAACACGUAUCCAACCUGCCGUCUACUCUUGGACAGCCUUCUGAAAGGAAGAUUAAUACAAGAUGGCAUCAUGAGUCCGCAUGUUCACAUGAUUAAAGGUAUUCCGGUAGACGAUGGGGAUGCGUUCCAUUAGAUAGUAGGCGGGGUAACGGCCCACCUAGUCUUCGAUGGAUAGGGGUUCUGAGAGGAAGGUCCCCCACAUUGGAACUGAGACACGGUCCAAACUCCUACGGGAGGCAGCAGUGAGGAAUAUUGGUCAAUGGGCGAGAGCCUGAACCAGCCAAGUAGCGUGAAGGAUGACUGCCCUAUGGGUUGUAAACUUCUUUUAUAAAGGAAUAAAGUCGGGUAUGGAUACCCGUUUGCAUGUACUUUAUGAAUAAGGAUCGGCUAACUCCGUGCCAGCAGCCGCGGUAAUACGGAGGAUCCGAGCGUUAUCCGGAUUUAUUGGGUUUAAAGGGAGCGUAGAUGGAUGUUUAAGUCAGUUGUGAAAGUUUGCGGCUCAACCGUAAAAUUGCAGUUGAUACUGGAUAUCUUGAGUGCAGUUGAGGCAGGCGGAAUUCGUGGUGUAGCGGUGAAAUGCUUAGAUAUCACGAAGAACUCCGAUUGCGAAGGCAGCCUGCUAAGCUGCAACUGACAUUGAGGCUCGAAAGUGUGGGUAUCAAACAGGAUUAGAUACCCUGGUAGUCCACACGGUAAACGAUGAAUACUCGCUGUUUGCGAUAUACUGCAAGCGGCCAAGCGAAAGCGUUAAGUAUUCCACCUGGGGAGUACGCCGGCAACGGUGAAACUCAAAGGAAUUGACGGGGGCCCGCACAAGCGGAGGAACAUGUGGUUUAAUUCGAUGAUACGCGAGGAACCUUACCCGGGCUUAAAUUGCAGAUGAAUUACGGUGAAAGCCGUAAGCCGCAAGGCAUCUGUGAAGGUGCUGCAUGGUUGUCGUCAGCUCGUGCCGUGAGGUGUCGGCUUAAGUGCCAUAACGAGCGCAACCCUUGUUGUCAGUUACUAACAGGUUCCGCUGAGGACUCUGACAAGACUGCCAUCGUAAGAUGUGAGGAAGGUGGGGAUGACGUCAAAUCAGCACGGCCCUUACGUCCGGGGCUACACACGUGUUACAAUGGGGGGUACAGAGGGCCGCUACCACGCGAGUGGAUGCCAAUCCCCAAAACCUCUCUCAGUUCGGACUGGAGUCUGCAACCCGACUCCACGAAGCUGGAUUCGCUAGUAAUCGCGCAUCAGCCACGGCGCGGUGAAUACGUUCCCGGGCCUUGUACACACCGCCCGUCAAGCCAUGGGAGCCGGGGGUACCUGAAGUGCGUAACCGCGAGGAGCGCCCUAGGGUAAAACUGGUGACUGGGGCUAA
rnacentral:rRNA from 2 species